rnacentral:rRNA from 1 species
CCUACGGGAGGCAGCAGUGAGGAAUAUUGGUCAAUGGGCGCGAGCCUGAACCAGCCAAGUAGCGUGAAGGAUGACUGCCCUACGGGUUGUAAACUUCUUUUAUACAGGAAUAAAGUGAGGCACGUGUGCCUUUUUGUAUGUACUUUAUGAAUAAGGAUCGGCUAACUCCGUGCCAGCAGCCGCGGUAAUACGGAGGAUCCGAGCGUUAUCCGGAUUUAUUGGGUUUAAAGGGUGCGUAGGGGGGUUGUUAAGUCAGUUGUGAAAGUUUGCGGCUCAACCGUAGAAUUGCAUUUGAUACUGGGAGUCUUGAGUGCAGUUGAGGUAGGCGGAAUGCGUGGUGUAGCGGUGAAAUGCUUAGAUAUCACGAAGAACUCCGAUUGCGAAGGCAGCGUACUAAGCUGCAACUGACGUUGAUGCACGAAAGUGUGGGUAUCAAACAGGAUUAGAUACCCUGGUAGUC